GAUGAACGCUGGCGGCGUGCUUAACACAUGCAAGUCGAACGGAAAGGCCAGUGCUUGCACUGGUACUCGAGUGGCGAACGGGUGAGUAACACGUGGGUGAUCUGCCCUGCACUUCGGGAUAAGCCUGGGAAACUGGGUCUAAUACCGGAUAGGACAAUGGUUUGGAUGCCGUUGUGGAAAGUUUUUUCGGUGUGGGAUGAGCUCGCAGCCUAUCAGCUUGUUGGUGGGGUAAUGGCCUACCAAGGCGUCGACGGGUAGCCGGCCUGAGAGGGUGUACGGCCACAUUGGGACUGAGAUACGGCCCAGACUCCUACGGGAGGCAGCAGUGGGGAAUAUUGCACAAUGGGAGCAAGCCUGAUGCAGCGACGCCGCGUGGGGGAUGACGGCCUUCGGGUUGUAAACUCCUUUCGCUAGGGACGAAGCGUAUUUGUGACGGUACCUGGAGAAGAAGCACCGGCUAACUACGUG
rnacentral:rRNA from 1 species